GAUAGCUUCCUAGAGAUAAGCUGCCAAUCAGUGGGGCUCCUGGACUCUGGGGAAGCUUCCUUCCUUUUGUAAUCUCUCCUCUCAGAGGGGUGAGUGAGGGCCUUGACAUCUGUUUUCAACGGGUGAAUACUUAUUUUAAAUUCAGGGUAUACUAUCAUUCCUCUUUCAAGGCAAAGUUAAAGAUGAAACUAUGUUAUGGUUUCAAUAAAUGUAAGACUUUAUUAAA